ACUUCUUGGUUAGGGCAUUUCAUGAUAUUUUCAUUAAACCUUUCCCAUACUUCAUACAAAGUCUCCCUAUUGAUUUGACAAAAAAUUAUAAUUUUGUUUCACAAUU
rfam:Capsicum annuum cultivar Zunla-1 chromosome 9, whole genome shotgun sequence